rnacentral:lncRNA from 1 species
UGGAGUCCCAUUGGGGAGGGCGAUGAAUGAUAAGUUUUCAUUUUAUAUGUAGGCGCUAUGGAGAGAUGGAAGAUUGCAGAGCAGGAAAAUCAUAUGAAUAUUUGAACCACCGGGUUGGAAUAUUUAUCCCAGAAAUUAAUGCAGAGACAACUAUCACCUGUAGCUCCAAGAAACUGUAGCAUAUGUAGCCGCCACACUCCAGUAAACUCAUUUCUGCAGAUGGGAUAAACAAGCUUGAAGGUAUCUAAGAGACCUCAAAGCCAUCAGUGACCUAAUGGGAUGUCUUCCCCAAACAUUUGAGGAUGCCCCUCUGGCAGAAUGGUCAGAGAAAGAACAAUUUUAUCCAAUUGUCAUGAAAACAGG